GUCUUGGAGCUGCUGCCUGGAUUUCCUGUGUGUGGGCAGAGGUUGAGCAGGACGUUACCUUGUAUCAGCCUGACCAUGGUCCCCAGCACAGCAGCAUGGCAAAAGCCCAGUGCAGUUUGAGGACCUCUUCUAAGCAGCUCACUGGAAGCCUGCCCCCACCUCCAAAUGGCCUGAAAGAAGGCAAGGCUGUGCCUGGGAAUGCACAUUCAUCAAGAAAGGUACUGGUGGUUUCUUGGUAGGCUAUGGAUCCCUGAAACAGCCUGGCAUCCCAUGCUGCCCCUUCGUACCUCUGGUUACUUUCUUUCCUUUCUAGACAGAAGGCUCUUAAGAAGGAAGUCCACUUGGGGCCUUCUAACGAGGCCCAGUCCCUUGGUGUCCAUGCCCAGGAUGGUCCAUGGAUGGAGCAGAGACUGGGGAAGAGACCCAGAUAGGCUUUCCCACGGUGCUGCUGUUCCAGCUGUAGAAAUCAUGGUAUGGGCAUGUGCACUAGCACAGCAUACUGGCCCUCAAAACCUACAAUACUCUGUGAAGUUGAAGGAUCCAGGCUCAGGUUGCAUCAAAUUCAUGGCACUUGGAAACAAGACACACACGCCUCAGUCUCCAGACCUGCAGGAGGAUAAGUCACCUGAGUGUCAGCCAGGUGAUGGGCCCAUCAAGGGACUCAAUGUCCCCAGAGAGCAGUGGCCCUGCAUCCCAAACCAUGGGGAACAGAAGAACUCUCAAAGUGUUGUUCCCAUCGCCAGAGCAUUCUUCAGUAGGAGAAUUUCAGAGCUGGGAGAAUUUGUUUGCCUUUUCACAAGUUAUAAUGUUCCUUUUUGUCAGGCCAAUUUGCAAUACAAAAGGAUGGCCUACCGUUCAAUUAUGGAGAGAGGAAACACAAAACAAACCAAGGCUUCCCAACAUCAAAGUGAAUAUUAUCUUUGGCAAAAUGUGAAAGGAUGUAGGGAGUGGGGGGGGAAAGGCUUCCAGAAGUUUCUGUUAAUAAAGGCUUGUCAGGCCAUCCCGAGGCCCCAUUCCCCAUGGUUCUUCUGCAGGCAUCCAGCUUCUUUCCAUUUUCCUUGUGUUUUCUCUGCCCUCUUACUGCAUCUCUUUGUCCGUUGGCUUGUUUGUGCUGCGCUUGUCAAGUCUGCAUGUUGCAUUUUGCAGCAAGGUGAAGACACAGAACAAGGACUCAAUGUCCUGCCAUGAUUUGUGGGCCUCUUCCUCCUAACUGCCUUGUCUCUGGGAAUUUACCCCUAACCAGCACAGCACAGUGCAGACACAUUGUCCUUGUUCUUUGGAAGAAUAAUCAUUUACUGACUUGCUGACUGACAAAUAAAACAGUGCCACCACCCCCACCCCACAAAAGUGCUGGGGAUCAAACAGGGCCUGUGGCUUUGGCAUCUUCUCUGUUUCUGAGCUCCAUCCCCAACAGUUCAGUAUCACUUCUUCCUCCAUGAACACUACUCCACAUAUACUAUCUCAUUAAAGACUCUUUACAACCAUACCAGAAGAUAGUAUGAUGCUUUUCCCAUUUGGCAGACAAGAAACUGAGUCCUAGUGACAGUAGGCCACUUGAUUGGCAUCCCACAGCUACUAAGUGGCUCAGCCAAGGUAAAGACCAAAAAUCUUCCUGACUCCAGGAAGCCAGGCUGUGCGCAUAGUGAGUUGAGAUCCAGAGAACCAGGACAAAUCACAGAAACUGAGAUGGUCCCCCAAUGGAAAUGUGCUAAUGGCUGGGUGCUCUGAGACAGAUGUCCUGAGAUACCAUCUCCCCACAGCAAUCUUCACUCUGCUCCAGUGGGGACACUGAGGUAAUUGCUGUUGUCCCCUUCCUGCUCUUUACUUAUGACAUUAGCAUAACUGGAGAUUCAAAAGCUGCACACAUUGUGGAGCACUCAUGGUGAGCCCCUUGGGCAGGGAGCCCCUUGGGCAGGGCAGUGGCACUCUACACAGAGGCUUCAUAGAUGGCCCUUGUGCUAGUAAGUCCACCCAAGGGCAGUAGGCAACCUCAGACUUACAGAUUCUACAACUUUCAUGGCAAAUUUGGGGAGCCAUUUGUUUUUUCCUGUCCUGUCCAGGAUGACUUAACCCUAUUUGCUUCCUUUCAUACUCUUGAAAGGAAGUUAUUGGAAUGCAAAAACAGAUGAGUCUUCUUGCAUUUAAGACCAAGCAUAUUCUCCCUCUCUCCGCUUCCUUCCCUCCCUCUCAAGCUUUUGAGAUAGGGACUCUCGGAAGUUCUGUGACUUUGGGGCUGAGGCAGCUCUGUGAAUUUGUGUGGGGGUGGAUGGUGCAUGUGUCAUGGUCAGAGGACAAUCGGGGAUCAAACUCGGGUCAUUAGGCUUGCCCAGCAAGUGCCUUUAUUUGCUAGGACAACUCACAGAUCUUUUAAAAAAUUUAAAAGUAAUUUAUUAUUUUUAUUAUUUUCUUGUGGGGUUUCUAUGGAAGAGAGCGGAUCUGUCAGGAAGUGGGCCUGGGAGGGAGAAGUUGCCACUUCCCCUCUUUCCAGAGCUCCAUUGUCUCCUGUUCUUGGUUUUAUGAGACACCUCCAGAAUCUGUCGGUGAAGCCUCUUUUCUGCUAAAUUGACCUCAGAUGAAUUUUAUUCCCCAAAUCAAAUGACUGUUCGCUGCAGUGCUUUCCAAACAUCUCCACUAUAUGGCAUCAUCUUGCACAAGCACACGGCACAUGCACGCUUGUUAUUCAUGCCACCAUGUUUGGGGAGUUUUACUCUACGACAGAAUAGCACAAGAAAGAUAUUUGGAGCCUGCAAACUGCCAGACAGCUGGAAGGGCUGUGAGUGGAGGUAGCAUGUGAGCUCAUGCUGAGGGGGAACUUGUAUGUGGAGAGUCCUUCCUUCAGGGGCAGGAGGCCAAUCACAGACAGUCCUGAGUCCUCAUCUGCCUCACGGUCUAUCUCCCUGAGGUCAGAGCUUUGAGGGUAGGGGAUGCAUCACUGCAGAGCAGCAGGGGAAUUGCCAUGAUGCUUCUUCUUUGCAGCCUUGCACUGAAUGCAGCAAGAAAGAAAGUGGCAGGCUCUGGACUAGGCUGCCGGCUGGAAGCAGCAGAUGACAGGGUGAAUGCCUGGUCAGUCCCUUUGUAAAACACCUUUCCCUUUGCUACUACAUAGUAUGGCUACACAGGCCAUACUGAGAAAUUAUUUAUUCAUUUCACUAAAUUGCAACAGUUAAAUUCUCUGCCAGGCCCUUUCUGUGGCUCAAAGUAAUGCCUAGGUUAGGAAAAGAAGAAAUCUGUUAGCUGGGAAUGUGUGUAAGUGAGAAGCGAGAGAUGGGGGGCCUCUCCAGAGAGCUCCCCACUGCAAGGCCCCAAAUAAGUAUGAGAUGCUUUCCAGCAUAGAUAUCUUCUUGGACUGGGACAAGUGUGUGGAGAGGGCAGGGUGUUGAGCUUGGAUGCAAACGUGAGAAAGGAAGUCUGGCUCCUGCAGUAGAAUAAGAAACAAAGGUAAAGUUGGGUGCAGCCCAGUCGCUGCUAAGCAACAGAAAUCUGGUGAAAGCGAUUGUUCUAGAUUAAUUAGGUCCUGUUUCUAAACAACUAGCUAGUUAUUUUUUUUUUACAACCAGUGGAGUUCUGUAAGCAGAACUGCUAGAUAGUCCACCAUGUUCAAAUGAAUCUGGUGCGGCCCCGCACCUUCCCAAUGGUGGCCAGGCACCUGGCAGAAGUGAACGACUCCUCUCCAGAAGCAGAGCAUUAAUGCAUCUAUGUGCAACAUAAAAUACAACACACAGAUGUGAAAGUUAGAGGAGAAAAUGUACAAGAGUAGUCAAGAAAAAAAAAAAAAAAAACAACAGCGGCAGAAGCCCUUAAAAGCUACUCUAAAGCUCCAGAACUAAAAUGGUAUGGCAUUGUGAUCAACAGUCCCACCAAGGGGCACAGAAGAUGACUGUGUUCUCAAGUGUACUGUGGUACUAUCCAUAGCAGCCAAGACAACCUAUGGGUUUGCCAGUCAAUGAGUGCAUAAAGAAAUGAACACGUGAUGGGAUACUAUUCAGCUUUAAACAGGAUUUGUUGUAUAUUUCAAAAUGAUUCGAAGAUUCUAGAUAUUCCCAAAGUUGAACACUACAAUCGAUGGGUAUGCUAACGACCCUAUUUGCCAAAUAGAUACUGUCUUCGUGUACCAACAUAUCCUGUUAUUGGCGGCAGUACGCACAGGUCUGGAGGAUAAUGUAUGACUUGAGAUGAGGUGGUCAAGAGAAGACAAACAGCACAUGCUUGAUUGGUAACGGUGGACUCUUACAGAGGCUGAUUUCACAGAAACAGAGGUUAGAAGAGUGAUUAGCAGAGGCUGGGAAGGAAAGACGGGAGGGGGAUUGAGACCAGAUGGCUAAAAGGGGAGAAAGGAUGUAGCUCAGUGAUGGAGUGUUUACCUUGUGUGACAGAAGCCCGGGCUCUUUGCCUAGAAUGGCAAAACCAAGUUCUAGCCUUCUACAGUAGACUGACUGUAGUUAAUACAAUGAUUUAUUGUAUAUUUCAAAAUAAUUAAACGAUUCUAGAUAUUCCCAAUGAUGAACACUACAAUUGAUGGGUAUGCUAAUUACCCUAUUUGCCAAAUAUAUAUUGUCUUUGUGUACCAAAAUAUCCCGGACCCCAUAAAUAUAUACAAUUAUUGUGUCAAUGAUAAUGGAAAGUGUAAUAUCACCAUCAAACAAUAAAAAUAAUAAAG
ensembl:lncRNA